rnacentral:rRNA from 1 species
UACGGAGGGUGCGAGCGUUAAUCGGAAUUACUGGGCGUAAAGGGUGCGUAGGUGGUUGUAUAAGUUAUCUGUGAAAUCCCCGGGCUCAACCUGGGCAGGUCAGAUAAGACUGUAUGACUCGAGUAUAGGAGAGGGUAGUGGAAUUUCCGGUGUAGCGGUGAAAUGCGUAGAGAUCGGAAGGAACACCAGUGGCGAAGGCGGCUACCUGGCCCGAUACUGACGCUGAGGUGCGAAAGCGUGGGGAGCAAACAGG